AUAUGAUGGUUAGGAUAUGUUCCACAAAAGCACAUGUAGGCAUUCCGAAUCAGGAUAGCUUACCAUGCAGUUGUAAAAAAGGAGAGUUACGUUAUAUUUACAUUAAGUCAGGAUAAAAAUUAACGUGUGUUUGGGUAUAUUGUGACGAUCGUGUGCGAAUUCGAAGCAGCAAAAUUGUGUUAGGUGUGUGAUAAACUUGUGUCGCACACUUGGGCACACGAAAGGAACUGAAUUUUGUGAAGUUUGUCGGCUUGUGCCGUACAAUUGGGUGAAAGGGGUUCAGGUUGUGAUCUCGAGACAUCGAGACAACCUGGAACCAACGGGGACAGGGUCGUAUGCUCUCGAAAAAUCGAGACAACCUGCGACUAAGGGAAAGUACGUUCAACUCAGAUUGCGAAUCGAACUGCACCUCGUGACUACCACACGUGUACGUCAGUGCGUUCUCAAGGGCAGAUAACAGUGCGAACUAUAUUGCAUUUUAUUAACGAGUUGCUGCAGAAACGGAAGAUGGUGAACUAUUGUGUUGUGGUGGAUUGCAUUAACAGUAAAGAAAACACAAGUCAGAUCCAGCGAAUCGACGCGCUCUCUAGUGGCAAUAGAAAUCGUUCUUUCAUUGUGCAUAUUGUAGCCAGCGAAUGUCCUCCUCCUUGUAUACAGACUUCAUGGGAGAAACGAUGAAAGGAAGGGAUUCCUUUCGUUGAGUUUUGGACUGCCUCUAAAAGAUAAGAAGAAAUAAAAGACGAGCAAGGGUAUCAGAAACUACGGGUAUCACUACAUAUAUUCUCUUCGUUUUUCACACUAUUUCACAUAAUUUGUAUUCAAUAUAAAGUAUUUACUUUUGUUCUCAAUCAGUCAAUCAAUCAAAUAAAAAUAAUAUUACAAUCUUAUUAUCCAAAUUAUCGUUAGUUUUUGUCUUAACUCGCUGUGAACUCGUGUGUAUUAUUAUUUAAAUAAAAUAUCUUGAACAAAUACUGCGACUUCGCACUGCUACCUCUAACAGGCAAAGUACGAAAAAAGGUACUGAUAACAGUA
rnacentral:misc_RNA from 1 species